rnacentral:lncRNA from 1 species
CCUCCGCACUAGCCGCGGACCCACCCCACUGCUCGGGCGUGCACUAGACCAAACACACUCUGAACGAUAAUGAGCACAGAGCCAAAUUCGCAUCCGCGCACAGCCCCGCGACGCCCGCGUUCCUAAGCCGUGCACCAGCGUGAUGCACCCGGCCGUGCGCUUCCGAACAGCCCGGGCUGCUGUGCGCCAGGCACACAGGCAGACCCAGACACGCGACGCGACCAUGGCGCAGCCACUGCGCAAGGCUGCGCGCCCAGCUGCCGCCCCCUCAACUCCCGGGCUCUGUCAGCAACGAAUU